rnacentral:rRNA from 1 species
GUACAUCCAGAGAACUUAGCAGAGAUGCUUUGGUGCCUUCGGGAACUCUGAGACAGGUGCUGCAUGGCUGUCGUCAGCUCGUGUUGUGAAAUGUUGGGUUAAGUCCCGNAACGAGCGCAACCCUUAUCCUUUGUUGCCAGCGGUUCGGCCGGGAACUCAAAGGAGACUGCCGGUGAUAAACCGGAGGAAGGUGGGGAUGACGUCAAGUCAUCAUGGCCCUUACGGCCAGGCUACACACGUGCUACAAUGGCGCAUACAAAGAGAAGCGACCUCGCGAGAGCAAGCGGACCUCAUAAAGUGCGUCGUAGUCCGGAUUGGAGUCUGCAACUCGACUCCAUGAAGUCGGAAUCGCUAGUAAUCGUAGAUCAGAAUGCUACGGUGAAUACGUUCCCGGGCCUUGUACACACCGCCCGUCACACCAUGGGAGUGGGUUGCAAAAGAAGUAGGUAGCUUAACCUUCGGGAGGGCGCUUACCACUUUGUGAUUCAUGACUGGGGUGAAGUCGUAACAAGGUAGGCGUAGCGAG